rnacentral:rRNA from 1 species
AUGCAUAGGCCAAACUGCCAGCGGCACAGCAGCUGUGACGCUCUCCAGCACCGAGUUCCACCCGCAGUGACUCAGAAACCCUCUCAUGCUCUGGUGCUGCAAAAUCCCCAAUUGAUCCACCUACUCUCUCACCACCAAGCCUCUGCCCUUGGUACGCUCCUCGAACCCUGCACCAAGAUCGAUAUUCUCGGGCCUCACGGCCCAUAUGAAAUCUACCUCGGCCCGCUCCAGCCCGUCUGCAACUUCCUUCAGCUGCACCUCCGGGAUCGCGGCCAGCGUCCCGAGCGCCACGUACAGCACGGCCCGGCCGGCGGCUGCCUUCUCGUCCAGCCACUCCAUCCAUGA